AUUGAACGCUGGCGGCAGGCCUAACACAUGCAAGUCGAACGAGUGGCGGACGGGUGAGUAAUGUCUGGGAAACUGCCUGAUGGAGGGGGAUAACUACUGGAAACGGUAGCUAAUACCGCAUACCAUCAGAUGUGCCCAGAUGUGAUUAGCUCGUUGGUUGGGUAACGGCUCACCAAGUCGACGAUCCCUAGCUUGUCUGAGAGGAUGACCAGCCACACUGGAACUGAUACACGGUCCAGACUCCUACGGGAGGCAGCAGUGGGGAAUAUUGCACAAUUGGCGCAAGCCUGAUGCAGCCAUGCCGCGUGUAUGAAGAAGGCCUUCGGGUUGUAAAGUACUUUCAGCGGGGAGGCGUUACCCGAAGAAGAAGCACCGGCUAACUCCGUGCCAGCCGCCGCGGUAAUAC
rnacentral:rRNA from 1 species